rnacentral:rRNA from 1 species
ACGAACGCUGGCGGCGUGCCUAAUACAUGCAAGUCGAACGGCUUUUCUAUGGAAGCUUGCUUCCACUGAGAAGAUAGUGGCGGACGGGUGAGUAACACUGGGUAACCUGCCCAUAAGAGGGGGGAUAACAUCCGGAAACGGGUGCUAAUACCGCAUAGUUUUCUUGAUCGCAUGAUCGGGAAAGGAAAGACGGCCUUUGUGCUGUCGCUUAUGGAUGGACCCGCGGCGUAUUAGUUAGUUGGUGAGGUAAUGGCUCACCAAGACGAUGAUACGUAGCCGACCUGAGAGGGUGAUCGGCCACAUUGGGACUGAGACACGGCCCAAACUCCUACGGGAGGCAGCAGUAGGGAAUCUUCCGCAAUGGACGAAAGUCUGACGGAGCAACGCCGCGUGAGUGAAGAAAGGUUUUCGGAUCGUAAAACUCUGUUGUCAGAGAAGAACAAGUUGGAGAGUAACUGCUCCAGCCUUGACGGUAUCUGACCAGAAAGCCACGGCUAACUACGUGCCAGCCGCCGC